AGCUACUGAUUUACUUCUUACUCUGUUCGUAAAUCUCUGCUCUUUAUCACUACAGAAUUUCCACUGGUAACUUUAAUUAUUUUAUAAAGCUUUAUUCACAAUUUUCUUCAUUGUUUUCAUAUCUGCCCAAAACCAAAACUUUACAACAGAAUUCUGUUUUCAAAUCAAAACAUGCAUACAUCGAUUUUUUUCUGUAAUUUCCAUAAGGAAAUAGAAUUAGUGUGGAAAGAAAUGGAGAAUUAGUGAGAACUGGAAGGUUGGUUGGGGGAGGAGGCGGAUGGGCGGUGCUAGAUCUGGAAAAGAGGGGCGCCGGCUGGGCUGUGCUGCUGUCGACGCGGAGGCGGCGAUGGCGGUGCUGCUGCUAGCCGGGCGAGCGACAGGGGAGAAGCGUGGUUGUGGCGGUGGUACUGGAAGGCGACGAAGGGUCGCCGGAGAAGGCGCGGUCGCGGCUGCGGCUGAUGCGGCGAGGACAGGGGCAGGGGAGGAGGAAGAGAGAUGAGGGAGGAGGGCGAGAAGUGAGGGGUGAGAGGGAGAUAGGGAGAAGAGGGAGAGGAGGCGGAGCCGCUGGUCUCCGCCGACGGCGCUGCCGUCCGGUGGCGCGGCGGCAGGAGGCCGAGAGGAAGAGGGCCGAGGGAGGAAGGGAGAGAGGGAGUGAGCAGCUGUGGGUGUGUGCGUGAGAGUUGUGUGUGUGUGUUGGGUGUGAUAGUCAAAAUGAGGUUUUAAUUAGGGUGAGUUGAAAUGGGCUUUGGGCCUAGUUUGGUUUUAAUUUAAUGGGCAGUUGGGCCGAAAUUUAUUUAGUGUUGGGCUGUUAAUUCCUUUUAACUAGACUUAUAAUAAAGUUUGAUUAAUUUAUUUAAAUAAUAAUAUUAAUUUAUUAUUAUGUGCAUAUAUUAAGUAUAAUUACUUAUUAUAUGAGUAGAGCAUGAAAUGAGUUGCAUUAAAUAUUUUGCAAAUAAAAGUGUUUAUGAUUUAAUUGGUUAUUUAUUUUUCCAAUUACAAGAGAAA
rnacentral:lncRNA from 1 species